GACAGAGGUGCCAAGCGUUAGGCGGAAUCACUGGGCUUAAAGCGUGUGUAGGCGGAUCGUUAAGUACCUUGUGAAAUCCCACGGCUCAACCGUGGAACUGCUGGGUAUACUGGCGAUCUUGAGCCACCUAGGGGCGAGCGGAACAAGCGGUGGAGCGGUGAAAUGCGUAGAUAUCGCUUGGAACGCCAACGGUGAAAACAGCUCGCUGGGGUGUGCUGACGCUGGAGACACGAAAGCCAGGGAGCGAACGGG
rnacentral:rRNA from 1 species